AUAGAUUAGUGAUCAUGGAUAUGUGUCAUUACGUUGAAUCGUAAGAAAUGUGAGCUUAUUUUCCCUAGAAUAAGGUGGUGGGGCUUAAAAGGAGAUAUCUUGAAAUCAUUUACUGAUAAAUUGGUUAAACAAGGAAGGUGAGACUUUGAUGGAGACAAUAAUACGAUGUGGAAUGAGAUGAUUGCUUGUAUUAAGAAGGUUGCUAAAGAUGUCUAAGGCAAAUCGAAAGGAAAAUAUCAUUCCUCUAGGGAGACUUGGUGGUGGGACUGGGAUGAUGAGGUUCAAGCAGCCAUUAAGGCUAAGAAAACUAGUUUUAAGACAUGGUAAAGGACAGAGGAUGUAGAGGAUCUAAAAUGGUAUGAAUUUGCCAGAACUGAAGCUAAGAAAAUUGUUGGAAAAGCAAGGGCGAAGAAAUAUGAAGAUCUUUAUAACAAUCCGAGCACAAAGGAAGAGGAAAAAUCUAUCUAUAAGAUAGCUAAAAUGAGGGAAAGGAAGAGUAGAGAUUUCGACUAUGUUAGUUGUAUUAAAAGUAAAGAGGGUAAAGAAAUACUAAUAAGGGAUGAGGACAUUAAGGAGAUAUGGAAAGAUUAUUUCUACAACCUCUACUAAAUGAAGACAUUUUGAAUAAUAAUGUCCCGAAAAGCUGCAUUACUCAUCAAGACACCACAUCCCGUAGAUAUAUACAAAAAUUAGGGUG